GGAGAGCUCCUCAUGCGCAGAACCGGAAAUGGAGAGCUCCUCAUGCGCAGAACCGGAAACCGAAAGCCUCUCCUAGUUUAUUACUCUCUACGUUGUCUGUGGUCUACGUUGUCUGUGAUUCUAUCAGAUUUUAUUGACUUCUUUGGGAGAGAGAGCUGCGAGCAGGGAGGGGCAGAGAUGGAAGGAGAAAGAAUGGGAAGCGGACUCUGCACUGAGUGUGGAGCCUGACAUGGGGCUCGAUCCCAUCACUGCCGCAAGAUCAUGACCUGAGCCCAAAUCAAGGGUUGGAUGCCUAGCUAACUGCAUCACCCCAGGACCCUUAAUUUAUUCAUUUUUAAAAUUUGUUCCUAUUUUCUCAUUCAGGUGUAAUGUAUAUACAGUAAAUGUACCCUUUUUAAAGUAGAAUUCUGCAUCUGACAAACAGUAAGGUAACUCUCACCACAAUCAAGUUACAGAACGUCCCUAACCCUCCGUAUGUGCCCCUGCUUCUUGGUAGUUAGCUUCGCCCUCCUCCACAGGCCCUGGAAACCGAUCAUCUCCUUUCCAUUUCUAUAGUGCUUUUUCCAGAAGGUUAUAGAAAUGGAAUCAUACAGUAUGCAGACUUCGGCUUUUUUUCAUUUGCCCUGAUACGUUUGAGAUUUACCUUGCAUGUAUCAGUCACUUGUUCCUUUUUAUUAAUGAGUACUACUGAAUUUUAUGGCUCUUCUACUUGGUACAUCUAUU
rnacentral:lncRNA from 1 species